ensembl:lncRNA
GACUCCUGUUGAGCUGGGAUGGGAAUGGCCUGGAGCCAAAUGGCGAUGCAGACCUUUGUCCUUGGCAUCCACUCACUCAGUCUUCUCUCCUCUUAGCAUGAUUUUUUCUCUCUCAACUGAAAUCCAUCACCUAGUUUCACAUGAGGCAACCAGUCACCUCGCGCUGACCGGGGCCGUCAAGGAUCCUCUGUGUCAGAUCCCAGACAAGGCUGCUACCACCAGAUGUUGUAUCCUGUGACAUAAAUGGCAGCCGUGGGUACCUGUUUGCAGUCUCUGCUUUAGAUCUUCCAAGCUUCCAGUGAUGCCAACCGUGUGAUCAGAAGGUUAGAACGUUCAGUCCCACCGACUCCUCCAUUCCCCUAAUCUCCAGGUAGGGGAGAGGUGCUGGAAAUCACGUUCAAUCACCAAUGGCCAAUGAUUUCAUUGAGCAUGCCUAGGUAACAAAGCCUCCAUAAAAAACUAAAAGGAGCCCUGCAGAGCCAAAGCUUUCCUGAGAAUGAAGAACAAAGCCAGAGGCAUGACCCUCCAUGGUUUCAUCCUCCAUAUUAAAACCAAUGCAGAGACAACAAAAGCAAAAAUAAACAAGCGGGACUAAAAGUAUCUGCACAGGGAAGAAAACUGUCAACAAAAUGAAAAUCUAUGAAUGGGAGAAAA